rnacentral:pre_miRNA from 1 species
GAAUUACUCCCUCCGUCCGAAAAUACUUGUCAUCAAAAUGGAUAAAAGAGGAUGUAUCUAGAUGUAUUUUAGUUCUAAAUACAUCUCUUUUUAUCCAUUUUGAUGACAAGUAUUUUCGGACGGAGGGAGUACUAA